UACGUAGGGGGCUAGCGUUGUCCGGAAUCAUUGGGCGUAAAGAGCGCGUAGGCGGCCAGACAAGUCCGGUGUGAAAGUCACAAGGCUCAACCGUGUGGUCUGCAGUCGAUACGGGCAGGCUAGAGUUCGGUAGGGGAGACUGGAAUUCCUGGUGUAGCGGUGAAAUGCGCAGAUAUCAGGAGGAACACCGGUGGCGAAGGCGGCUUGCUGGGCCUUACCUGACGCUGAGGAGCGAAAGCGUGGGGAGCGAACAGGA
rnacentral:rRNA from 1 species